rnacentral:rRNA from 1 species
GAUGAUUGCCAUACCUUUCUGGACACAUUCCACCUCAUCCAAUUUUGGAAGUUCAGCAGAGUCGGGCCUGGCUAGUACUUGAAUGGGAGAGUGGUAUGACAAGUCAUGA